rnacentral:rRNA from 1 species
UGAACCGCAUGGUUCAAAAGUGAAAGACGGUCUUGCUGUCACUUAUAGAUGGAUCCGCGCUGCAUUAGCUAGUUGGUAAGGUAACGGCUUACCAAGGCAACGAUGCAUAGCCGACCUGAGAGGGUGAUCGGCCACACUGGAACUGAGACACGGUCCAGACUCCUACGGGAGGCAGCAGUAGGGAAUCUUCCGCAAUGGGCGAAAGCCUGACGGAGCAACGCCGCGUGAGUGAUGAAGGUCUUCGGAUCGUAAAACUCUGUUAUUAGGGAAGAACAUAUGUGUAAGUAACUGUGCACAUCUUGACGGUACCUAAUCAGAAAGCCACGGCUAACUACGUGCCAGCAGCCGCGGUAAUACGUAGGUGGCAAGCGUUAUCCGGAAUUAUUGGGCGUAAAGCGCGCGUAGGCGGUUUUUUAAGUCUGAUGUGAAAGCCCACGGCUCAACCGUGGAGGGUCAUUGGAAACUGGAAAACUUGAGUGCAGAAGAGGAAAGUGGAAUUCCAUGUGUAGCGGUGAAAUGCGCAGAGAUAUGGAGGAACACCAGUGGCGAAGGCGACUUUCUGGUCUGUAACUGACGCUGAUGUGCGAAAGCGUGGGGAUCAAACAGGAUUAGAUACCCUGGUAGUCCACGCCGUAAACGAUGAGUGCUAAGUGUUAGGGGGUUUCCGCCCCUUAGUGCUGCAGCUAACGCAUUAAGCACUCCGCCUGGGGAGUACGACCGCAAGGUGAAACUAAAGGAAUUGACGGG